UACGGAGGGUGCAAACGUUGCUCGGAAUCAUUGGGCGUAAAGCACACGUAGGCGGACCGCUAAGUCGGAUGUGAAAGCCCUCGGCUUAACCGAGGAAGUGCAUUCGAAACUGACAGUCUUGAGUAUGGAAGAGGGUCGCGGAAUUCCCGGUGUAGAGGUGAAAUUCGUAGAUAUCGGGAGGAACACCAGUGGCGAAGGCGGCGACCUGGGCCAAUACUGACGCUGAGGUGCGAAAGCGUGGGGAGCAAACAGG
rnacentral:rRNA from 1 species